GAUGAACGCUGGCGGCGUGCCUAAUACAUGCAAGUCGAGCGAACAGACGAGGAGCUUGCUCCCCCGACGUUAGCGGCGGACGGGUGAGUAACACGUGGAUAACCUACCUAUAAGACUGGGAUAACUUCGGGAAACCGGAGCUAAUACCGGAUAAUAUAUUGCACCGCAUGGUUCAAUAGUGAAAGACGGUUUUGCUGUCACUUAUAGACGGCUCCGCGCCGCAUUAGCUAGUUGGUUAGGUAACGGCUUACCAAGGCAACGAUGGGUACCCGACCUGAGAGCGUGAUCGGCCACACGGGAUGUGAGACACGUUCCAGACUCCUACGGGAGGCAGCAGUAGGGAAUCUUCCGCAAUGGGCGAAAGCCUGACGGAGCAACGCCGCGUGAGUGAUGAAGGUCUUCGGAUCGUAAAACUCUGUUAUUAGGGAAGAACAAAUGUGUAAGUAACUAUGCACGUCUUGACGGUACCUAAUCAGAAAGCCACGGCUAACUACGUG
rnacentral:rRNA from 1 species